rnacentral:rRNA from 1 species
CGGUCCAGACUCCUACGGGAGGCAGCAGUAGGGAAUCUUCCGCAAUGGGCGAAAGCCUGACGGAGCAACGCCGCGUGAGUGAUGAAGGUCUUCGGAUCGUAAAACUCUGUUAUUAGGGAAGAACAUACGUGUAAGUAACUGUGCACGUCUUGACGGUACCUAAUCAGAAAGCCACGGCUAA